rnacentral:rRNA from 1 species
GACGAACGCUGGCGGCGUGCUUAACACAUGCAAGUCGAACGGAAAGGCCCUGCUUUUGUGGGGUGCUCGAGUGGCGAACGGGUGAGUAACACGUGAGUAACCUGCCCUUGACUUUGGGAUAACUUCAGGAAACUGGGGCUAAUACCGGAUAGGAGCUCCUGCUGCAUGGUGGGGGUUGGAAAGUUUCGGCGGUUGGGGAUGGACUCGCGGCUUAUCAGCUUGUUGGUGGGGUAGUGGCUUACCAAGGCUCUGACGGGUAGCCGGCCUGAGAGGGUGACCGGCCACAUUGGGACUGGGAUACGGGCCAGACUCCUACGGGAGGCAGCAGUGGGGAAUAUUGCAAAAUGGGCGGAAGCAUGAUGCAGCAAAGCCGCGUGCGGGAUGAAGGCCUUCGGGUUGUAAACCGCUUUCGCCUGUGACGAAGCGUGAGUGACGGUAAUGGGUAAAGAAGCACCGGCUAACUACGUG